AGAGUUUGAUCCUGGCUCAGGAUGAACGCUAAGGCUUAACACUGCAAGUCGAACGGCAGCAUGGAGAGCUUGCUCUCUGAUGGCGAGUGGCGAACGGGUGAGUAAAGCAUCGGAACGUACCGUGUAGUGGGGGAUAACGUAGCGAAAGUUACGCUAAUACCGCAUACGCACUGAGGUGGAAAGCAGGGGAUCGCAAGACCUUGCGCUAUACGAGCGGCCGAUGUCAGAUUAGCUAGUUGGUAGGGUAAAGGCCUACCAAGGCGACGAUCUGUAGCGGGUCUGAGAGGAUGAUCCGCCACACUGGGACUGAGACACGGCCCAGACUCCUACGGGAGGCAGCAGUGGGGAAUUUUGGACAAUGGGGGCAACCCUGAUCCAGCCAUGCCGCGUGAGUGAAGAAGGCCUUCGGGUUGUAAAGCUCUUUCGGCCGGGAAGAAAUCGCACAGGCUAAUACUCUGUGUGGAUGACGGUACCGGCAUAAGAAGCACCGGCUAACUACGUGCCAGCAGCCGCGGUAAUACGUAGGGUGCGAGCGUUAAUCGGAAUUACUGGGCGUAAAGCGUGCGCAGGCGGUUGAGUAAGUUUGAUGUGAAAUCCCCGGGCUCAACCUGGGAACUGCAUUGAAGACUGCUCGACUAGAGUACGGCAGAGGGGGGUAGAAUUCCACGUGUAGCAGUGAAAUGCGUAGAGAUGUGGAGGAAUACCGAUGGCGAAGGCAGCCCCCUGGGUCGAUACUGACGCUCAUGCACGAAAGCGUGGGGAGCAAACAGGAUUAGAUACCCUGUAGUCCACGCCCUAAACGAUGUCAACUAGUUGUUGGUAGGGUUAAACCUAUUAGUAACGUAGCUAACGCGUGAAGUUGACCGCCUGGGGAGUACGGUCGCAAGAUUAAAACUCAAAGGAAUUGACGGGGACCCGCACAAGCGGUGGAUGAUGUGAUUAAUUCGAUGCACGCGAAAA
rnacentral:rRNA from 1 species